rnacentral:rRNA from 1 species
ACAUGCCUACAACAUAACGUUAAUGCACUGGAUCUCAUUAGAACUCCGCAAUUAAGCGCGCUCAUGCUAGAGUGUAUUGGGAUGGGUGACCGCCUGGGAAGUCUUAGUGUUUUACAUGCC